ACAGUUAUCGUGUCAUUGCGCUUUUUCGUAAUCAAACAAAACAAACAGACAAAGAAUUGCUGUGAUUGUGCUCUCUGUCGUUUUUCCCUCUUCUGUGAGAUCCGCCAAGAGGUGCAGUUUUUCUAAUUCCCGAAAUAACACUAAUGAACAUGAGUCAAUCGUGCUCGAGUCACAAGGGCUGAGCAAGCCAUCCUGGGAUAUAUUAUAUAUAUAACUUUUGUACGUGUCUUGGGAAAAGCCAGUGUGAGUCGCAGGAAAGUGUUCCUGGCUUGUCGUGUUCGUGAAUGCUGUUCCAACGGACACUUAAUAAAGAACAUCGUUGCGUCUGCGGACAGUUUCGUACUCGGAAUUCUUCGUGCUGAUUGAUUGUGGCCACUAAAUUCCUGACAGUAAAAAUACAUGACAGUUAAGCACACCUGACUUUUUUAUGCGUCUAUGCUUCGAGGAUACGGUUGACUUAUUCGACUCUGCAGGGCUGAACCCAUUUACAUUACAAAAACUGUUGUCCCCGAUGGAUAUGUUUUUCAGUGGAAAAGGAAAUUUGGAUUAAAACGAAGAUGGAAACUCAAGUAAA
rnacentral:lncRNA from 1 species